rnacentral:lncRNA from 10 species
CUGCGGGUUAGGAUUCUUUUAAUGGUCUAUUAUUUUAAUUUUUUCACUUUUCUCAUGGACAAUCUCCACAUUUUAUGUCAUUUCUUUUUCUUGAAGUAACUAACCUUGAAUGGAAAAAUUGGUAUUUUUCUUUUCCCACCAGCAUGUUGAAUCAUCCAUUUGUCUGGUAACUUGAGACAGCCGGUAGAGGAGUCACAAGAGUAGGUACCUUUCCAUGAGCUCACCUCUGUUCCACUCCCAUCUCAUAAAGGGUGUGACAGAUACUUCACAGAAGGCAAGGAGAAAACAGGUCAGAAGUAUGUUAUUGGGGGCUUAGCACUGAUUUUGGUUCUGACAAGCUGGCCACUCAGAGACAGCAGUAGCUAUGUCUGUCUCAGUAUGUGGUAGACCAUGCUGUUGGGCCCAUAUAUAUAUAGCCUCCAUGCCUGCCACUGGGGCUACUUCAUUCACGUACCCACUGUGUCAGUUCUGGGAUGACUAAAAUCAACUGGGUCAUCAUGAGUGAAGUCUUGAGCCACUGAGCCACUACCACCUUGUGCCAAAUACUAUCUGUGCCCUGCCUGCCAACCAGGAUGACAACCCUUCACCUGCCAGGUGGAGAGAGACAGCAGCAGGCUAACUAGUUGUCUGUUAAGAACAUCCAGAGCAGGACCAGAAUCUGGGCCAGGAACUGAGAGACAGAUUGGGACAACGGAACAAAUCUACCAGGGAUGCUCAAUAAAGGAAUGUAGAAGAAUGUUGGGAGAGAAGCAUUCUCACCUAUUUCUGAUCUUAACAGGCAGCAUUGCCAGCCAUCACUCCAUGGAUCCUCUCAUCUGGAAGUGCUCCACUUCAGAAAUCUUAGAUUCCAAGAUCCACUCUCAGAAAACAACCUCCAGACAUUUCUGCCGUCCACACAGUUGCUUCUUCUCCCUCUGGCGCACGGCCACCUGUGCUAUCUGCAGCCUCACCGGCAUUCCCUGGCCUCGCCCUCUGCACUUCAUCCUGACAGGCAUGGAGUCUCCUCCUGUCACCCCAGAGCUAUGUGGUGUCUUGAUUAGGUGACUUUGCCCAUGUUGUCAUUCAACUUAAUAUUUAUUGAUCUAUCUCUGUGAGAAUCACUUGGCUGGCCCUUUCGUCUGGAGUGUCAGCCUCCUCUCACCUGCCCCCAGGAGGCUUCCUCCUUCUUCUUUUAACUGCUUGCACAUCUUUAAGACUCAGCCUUGGAGACACGUCUUUUAAAAAGCCUUGAAUGGGCCUGGGAAGUGGCUCACACCUGUAAUCCCAGCACCUUCAGAGGCCAAAGUGGGAGGAUCACUUGAGGCCAGGAGUUCAAGACUAGCCUGGACAACAUGGUGAAAGCCCGUCUCUACUAAAAACACAAAAAUUAACCGGGUAUGAUGGCACACACCUGUAAUCCCAGCUACUCAGGAGCCUGAGGCAUGAGAAUCACUUGAACCUGGGGAGGCUGCAGUGAGCCAAGAUUGAACACCACUGCUCUCCAGCCUGGGCAACAGAGCAAGACUCUGUCUCAAGAAAAAAAAAAAAAAAGAUACCUUCUCUGACCACUCCCUCUAUUCUUCCCUUUCCCAUAACACUAAGUCAUAUGCGCCCAAAACAAUUUGUGCACAUCUCCAUCAGUGAGUGGUUUUCCAUGAUGGUCAUCCUCCCCGACUAGGCUGGUGUAUUCUAGUGUGCUCACCUUUGGGGGUCUCUACUACUGAUUAUUUGCAAGACCUAAGGCAACUUAUUUCACUUUGUAAGCUUCUGUUUCCUCAACUACAAAACCAGGUUAUUAAUAGAAAUUGUAUGUAAGGAACCUAGCACAAUGCUUGAUAUACAGUAAGUGCAAAGUAUGUUAAAUGUUUAAUAAAUUAAUGUCAUAGGAACACCAUUAGAAAACUCCUUAAAAGAAAAAUAUUUAUUUUUUAAGCACUUGUAGGGACAAGGAGCUUGUCCCCUUGUUUGAUAAUUCUAUUUAUAGUGUAACUGAAGCCAUCGUAGUUUGACUCACACUAGUUUUAUUGACAAAAAUGAGUGCCCUCUGCCCCUACUCCCAGUGUCCCCUGUUCUGCUAAAGAAUCUUGAGACUCUCUCAAGGUGCUCUGUCAUGUGUAUUCAGAAACUGGUCCCUCUGGGGCAAAGCUGUUCUCAGCUGGUGCCUGUGGCUGCCACCACUGCUGUGGCCUGAGGACAGAAGUCAUAACCCUCCUCUGCUUUGCCUCAGGGGUUGGUUGUGGACCUUUCCCCU